rnacentral:rRNA from 1 species
AUUGAACGCUGGCGGCAGGCCUAACACAUGCAAGUCGAGCGGAUGAAGGGAGCUUGCUCCUGGAUUCAGCGGCGGACGGGUGCGUAAUGCCUAGGAAUCUGCCUGGUAGUGGGGGAUAACGUCCGGAGACGGGCGCUAAUACCGCAUACGUCCUGAGGGAGAAAGUGGGGGAUCUUCGGACCUCACGCUAUCAGAUGAGCUUAGGUCGGAUUAGCUAGUUGGUGGGGUAAAGGCCUACCAAGGCGACGAUCCGUAACUGGUCUGAGAGGAUGAUCAGUCACACUGGAACUGAGACACGGUCCAGACUCCUACGGGAGGCAGCAGUGGGGAAUAUUGGACAAUGGGCGAAAGCCUGAUCCAGCCAUGCCGCGUGUGUGAAGAAGGUCUUCGGAUUGUAAAGCACUUUAAGUUGGGAGGAAGGGCAGUAAGUUAAUACCUUGCUGUUUUGACGUUACCAACAGAAUAAGCACCGGCUAACUUCGUG